GUUACACAUGCUAAUUAGAUGUGUAACUUAUAUAUACACAUGAUAGAACGCAGUUUACACAAGAUGUGUAACUGCAGUUUACACAAGCAUUGUAUAUAUGUAACUGCAGUUUACACAAGCAUUGUAUAUAUGUAACUACAGUUUACACAAGAUGUGCAUAUGAGAUGUGAAGACGUUGAGGUGAAACUUUAUUUCAAGCAGUGUGCGUAUGAGAUGCAAGCAGUGCUGAGCUUCGAUGCUCGUGUUGUUGGAAGUAUACUGUGAAGACAUUGAGGCGUUUUUUUGGGACAGUUCAUGUGUUGGCUUAUGGAGUAUCUACCUUAAACAGUGCAGUUGCUUGUAAGAAAUGCUAAAAGGAACCGCAGUCAUGGUUUGCUAUUUGUGGUAUUGGUCUCGCUGGAACUGGAGUUAACGCUGAAUACACAAGUCAGAUGCAUGUGUAACUCUCAAUGACACUAGAUAGACGCAUAUGUAACUCUCGAUUACACUAGACAGAUGUGUGUGUAAAUUCUAGUUACACAUGCUAAAAAAUUGUUGUAAACGAAUAUUAAAGUAAUACAUGUAUUUUUU